CUCGUAGGUGGCCAACUAAGUCAGACGUGAAAUCCCCAGGCUUAACCUGGGAACUGCGUCUGAUACUGGAUGGCUUGAAUUCGGGAGAGGGAUGCAGAAUUCCAGGUGUAGCGGUGAAAUGCGUAGAUAUCUGGAGGAAUACCGGUGACGAAGGCGGCAUCCUGGACCGAGAUUGACACUGAUGAGCGAAAGCCAGGGGAGCAAACG
rnacentral:rRNA from 1 species